rnacentral:rRNA from 1 species
GACGAACGCUGGCGGCGUGCUUAACACAUGCAAGUCGAACGAUGAAGCCUUCGGGUGGAUUAGUGGCGAACGGGUGAGUAACACGUGGGCAAUCUGCCCUGCACUCUGGGACAAGCCCUGGAAACGGGGUCUAAUACCGGAUAAUACUGUGCCCCUCAUGGGGGAUGGUUGGAAGCUCCGGCGGCGCAGGAUGAGCCCGCGGCCUAUCAGCUUGUUGGUGGGGUAAUGGCCUACCAAGGCGACGACGGGUAGCCGGCCUGAGAGGGCGACCGGCCACACUGGGACUGAGACACGGCCCAGACUCCGUACGGGAGGCAGCAGGUGGGGAAUAUUGCACAAUGGGCGAAAGCCUGAUGCAGCGACGCCGCGUGA